AUAUACAUGAUGAUGCCAAAUUGGCGGCACGGUGGGCGACCGGUUAGAGCGUCUGCCUCACAGUUCUGAGGACCCGGGUUCAAUCCCCGGCCUCGCCUGUGUGGAGUUUGCGUGUUCUCCCCGUGCCUGCGUGGGUUUUCUCCGGGCACUCCGCUUUCCUCCCACAUCCCAAAAACAUGCAUUCAUUGGAGACUCGAAAUUGCCAAUGGCAGGGCACAUACAAACAAACAACCGUUCGCACUCACAGUCACGCCUACGGGCAAUUUAGACGCUCUAACCAGUCGGUCACCGUGCCGCCGUAUUUAAAUAUAAAAUGUUGAAUUCUCGGCUUUUUGUGUCAGUUUUAUAGGAAGCUUCAACUGGGAGUGACAGGUAAACAGCUUGAAGCAAGUACGCUUUGGCUGUUAUUUCGAAAACUGCGAGCGAUAUUGGCAACGAAGGAAUACUUUGAAAAGUACUCCUCAUAGUAUUACUAAUACUACUCAGGAAUACAUUGAGGGCGGCAGCAACGACUCCAGCGAGGAAGGGAUGAAAAAACCCAAAAACAGCGUGUUUUAGGGCCCCUCCCCUGAGGAAAAUUCGUAUUGAAAACAUUUUUUACAACUUCUUGACUUCUAAAACGAGACGCUCGUCAGUGAAACACCUUUUUACGACACAUCCCUGGAGAAAGAUUUGCAUUUCAAACAUUUUCUUUUACGCGCGGACUUCAAGUUUUUCGCGGCUUUAAUGCAACUGUCAGUUGUGGCCUCGCAGCGAGAGUAUGAAAGUGUUUCGACGUGCCGUUGGCUUAAAGAGAGUAAACGUGGUUGGCCUUUGUGACUCAGUUCAAGGGGAUUCUUCAGGAAAGACAAAUGAGUCUCCGGGGGGCUGGCAAAGAGACAAGCAGACAAGCACAAAUGAGCUCUCAAUCAGCUCCGACAGAGCUUCAAUCAUUGCUUUCCUGUUUCAUGAUCACUCGCCAAACCUCGCUGACACCCAAGGAACAAAACGAAACAUCAGCUGACCCAAGCCUCCAUGUGGCGGUAAAUAAAAUGUUAGCCUAACGGCAUAACUGUCAUUUUUAUUUUACUGUCACAAUAGCAAUAAAGAAUACUAACGUGCUUGCUAAAAAUGUACUUUGAUUUUGUACUUUUUUAACGUCUGUGUAGAUCAGGGGUGUGCAACUUAAAUGACGGAAGGGGGCAACAGAGAGAGGGUCUCUGCUGACCUUGUUAGGAAAUGUACUACUUUGAAUGGGCUCAAGAAACUUCAUUGAAAAAACGAUUGAACCUGGAAAACGUGUUCAGGACAAUUAACUAAUUCACUGUACAUUGGUCAUUUACUGCCACCGACGUAUGCAUUCAUCAAGCUUUUCAAAGGGUUGGUGUGGUAGAGGGUCUCGCCCUGCUUGUCUGCGAAACUCAGGUUUGUAAACAGCGGUAAUGACUAACAGAUCCCAAUAGAUGGCGGCGUUGCUUCGCUUUGGAUUUGAGAUUAGCCCAGUUUUUGAGUCGACUAGAAAGAUUAGGUAGCUAACAUCAGUUGGUCACGUCGACUACGACGGAGAGAAAUGUCAAGUUGUCGAAAGUCUUGACAGGUUUAAGCACCUCACACGUGAACAAGAGUUCGUAUAUAUCCCGGCUCCGACUGUCGAAGUGUCCUUGGCGAAGACACUGAACCCUAAUUUGCUCCCAAUGGGCCUGGCAUCGCCUUGCGUGGCAGCAGUCGCCCAUUUGUCUCUGAAUGUGUGUGUGUGAAUGUGAGGCUUUGUGAAGCGCUUUGGGCACCGUGAUGGCGUCGAUAAAGCGCAGUCCAUUUAACGUGUGUGUGUAUAGUAUAAACGGAGUAUGUGUCUCGGUAGUUAGAGUGAACGACGAGCGCCGUGUAAAAAAAUCCACUGACGUUCAACUCGACUCAACUUUCCUCCGUUGUAUAUCUGUAAAUAAAUGCGAAUUUUGCCAUCAAAAGCCCUUUCUCAGUCUUGGUUUUGUUGUUUUAUAGACUACGCCCCUGUGUGACUUGGAGCACUUUUUUAUGCGCAAUUACGCUCGUUGGUGCUGGCAGGUGCUUGAAAGCCUCACCAAGGACGAGAAAUGGUCGCUAACACAUGGGCGCCCUUGACGUGAGCGCAGCCGUCACACUUUUAAUGACACGACACGCCACUCUGAUGCGUUUUGAAGUGGCCGUCAAUGGGGGAAAAAGGAAUUGAUAUUUAUUUGUGCCUGGCGUGUGAUAUAUGGCACCCUUAAAGCGCUCGCUGCUAUUUACGGCGGGCUUUGUCAAUAGAAUCACACCGCGGCCUCGCACGCCAGACGGGAGGCUGGAAAGCAUUUUUAUGAAUGGACUGGAGCACAAGGGGAGGUUUUGUACAGACAUGGAACGUUAUGAACAUGUCGUAUCAUCCAAAAUUCUCACGCUUGUCAGUGUUAUCACCAUAUUGCUUCAGGUCAAAUGAAUCCAAAUUACGAUGCACUUUCCGCAGUUAAUG